rnacentral:rRNA from 1 species
GACAGAGGGUGCAAACGUUGUUCGGAAUCACUGGGCGUAAAGCGCGUGUAGGCGGCCAUGCAAGUCGGAUGUGAAAUCCCGCGGCUCAACCGUGGAAGAGCACUCGAAACUGCUUGGCUAGAGUCCUGGAGAGGAAGGUGGAAUACUCGGUGUAGAGGUGAAAUUCGUAGAUAUCGAGUGGAACACCGGUGGCGAAGGCGGCCUUCUGGACAGUGACUGACGCUGAGACGCGAAAGCGUGGGGAGCAAACAGG